GAUGAACGCUAGCGGGAGGCCUAACACAUGCAAGCCGAGCGGUAUUGUUUCUUCGGAAAUGAGAGAGCGGCGUACGGGUGCGUAACACGUGUGCAACCUGCCUUUAUCUGGGGGAUAGCCUUUCGAAAGGAAGAUUAAUACUCCAUAAUAUAUUGAACGGCAUCGUUUAAUAUUGAAAGCUCCGGCGGAUAGAGAUGGGCACGCGCAAGAUUAGUUAGUUGGUGAGGUAACGGCUCACCAAGGCGAUGAUCUUUAGGGGGCCUGGGAGGGUGAGCCCCACACUGGUACUGAGACACGGACCAGACUCCUACGGGAGGCAGCAGUGAGGAAUAUUGGACAAUGGGUGCAAGCCUGAUCCAGCCAUCCCGCGUGAAGGACGACUGCCCUAUGGGUUGUAAACUUCUUUUGUAUAGGGAUAAACCUACCCUCGUGAGGGUAGCUGAAGGUACUAUACGAAUAAGCACCGGCUAACUCCGUGCCAGCAGCCGCGGUAA
rnacentral:rRNA from 1 species